rnacentral:rRNA from 1 species
UACGGAAGGUCCAGGCGUUAUCCGGAUUUAUUGGGUUUAAAGGGAGCGUAGGCCGCCUGGUAAGCGUGUUGUGAAAAAUACCGGCUCAACCGGUAUCCUGCAGCGCGAACUGUCGGGCUUGAGUGUGCGCAACGUUGGCGGAAUUCGUCGUGUAGCGGUGAAAUGCUUAGAUAUGACGAAGAACUCCGAUUGCGAAGGCAGCUGACGGGAGCACAACUGACGCUGAAGCUCGAAAGUGCGGGUAUCGAACAGGAUUAGAUACCCCGGUAGUCC